rnacentral:rRNA from 1 species
GAUGAACGCUGACAGAAUGCUUAACACAUGCAAGUCAACCUGAACUUCGGUUUGGGUGGCGGACGGGUGAGUAACGCGUAAAGAACUUGCCUCACAGAUAGGGACAACAUUUGGAAACGAAUGCUAAUACCUGAUAUUAUGAUUAUAUGGCAUCGUAUAAUUAUGAAAGCUAUAUGCGCUGUGAGAGAGCUUUGCGUCCCAUUAGCUAGUUGGAGAGGUAACGGCUCACCAAGGCGAUGAUGGGUAGCCGGCCUGAGAGGGUGAUCGGCCACAAGGGGACUGAGACACGGCCCUUACUCCUACGGGAGGCAGCAGUAGGGAAUAUUGGACAAUGGACCAAGAGUCUGAUCCAGCAAUUCUGUGUGCACGAUGAAGUUUUUCGGAAUGUAAAGUGCUUUCAGUUGGGAAGAAAAAAAUGACGGUACCAACAGAAGAAGUGACGGCUAAAUACGUG